rnacentral:rRNA from 1 species
GACGUAGGGCGCGAGCGUUGUCCGGAUUUAUUGGGCGUAAAGAGCUCGUAGGCGGUUCCGUAAGUCAGAUGUGAAAACUCAGGGCUCAACCCGGAGACGCCAUCUGAUACUGCGGUGACUGGAGUCUGGUAGGGGAACACGGAAUUCCUGGUGUAGCGGUGAAAUGCGCAGAUAUCAGGAGGAACACCGAUGGCGAAGGCAGUGUUCUGGGCCAGUACUGACGCUGAGGAGCGAAAGCGUGGGGAGCAAACAGG